rnacentral:tRNA from 1 species
GCCCGGAUGGUGGAAUCGGUAGACACGAGGGACUUAAAAUCCCUUGGCCCUAAAGGCUGUGUGGGUUCAAGUCCCACUCCGGGUA